rnacentral:rRNA from 1 species
GCGGUAUGCUUAACACAUGCAAGUCGAACGGACACAGGGAGCUUGCUCCCGAAAGUUAGUGGCAGACGGGUGAGUAACGCGUGGGAAUCUGCCUAUCAGUACGGGAUAACAUUUGGAAACAAAUGCUAAUACCGCAUACGCUGCUCGGAGGAAAGAUUUAUCGCUGAUAGAUGAGCCCGCGUAAGAUUAGGUAGUUGGUAGGGUAAUGGCCUACCAAGCCGACGAUCUUUAGCUGGUCUGAGAGGAUGGUCAGCCACACUGGGACUGACACACGGCCCAGACACCGACGGGAGGCAGCAGUGGUGAAUAUUGGACAAUGUGCGAAAGCCUGAUCCAGCAAUACCGCGUGAGUGAUGAAGGCCUUAGGGUUGUAAAGCUCUUUCAGUUGGAAAGAUAAUGACGGUACCAACAGAAGAAGCACCGGCUAACUACGUGCCAGCCGCCGCGGUAA